rnacentral:lncRNA from 1 species
AAGAAGGGCAGGAAGUCUGGCGGCGUGGCAGCUGGGCUCCCGGAGCCAGCCUGGAGGCGCGGAGCUCUUGGAAUGCGCAUGUGCACAGCUUGGGGCGAGGCGGGUGGGCGCGGGAGGAGCUUGAGGCAGGUGGAGACCGGGGAUUUAGGGCGUGAGCGGUGAAAUUGAGGCUUCUGGAACUCUUCUCUCCAGCAGGUCACCGUGGAAAAAGGGCAAACUUGUGUGGCCUAGGGCAGGGUAGACGCGUCGAGAACAAUGAACGCCAGAUAAAUGCCUCCUGAUUUUCUUCAGAGAAGCCUCAGUGUUUCAGGGAGAGAGGUCUUGGCUUUCCCUUGGCUGGAAUCUUCUGUCUUCAACAUCUGGAAGAUUCUUCUUGCUCUGCCUUCAGGACUCAGUUUAGGAGGUGACAUCUUUGAUUGUCUCCCCAACGUUUACUCAGCAUGUCAGCACAGGCUGCUUCAGUGUACUCUCUGUUGA